rnacentral:rRNA from 1 species
UACGUAGGGAGCAAGCGUUGUCCGGAAUCAUUGGGCGUAAAGCGCGCGUAGGUGGCCACAUAAGUCCGUUGUGAAAGUCAAAGGCUCAACCUUUGAAAGCCGAUGGAUACUGUGUGGCUAGAGUACGGAAGAGGCGAGUGGAAUUCCUGGUGUAGCGGUGGAAUGCGCAGAUAUCGGGAGGAACACCAAUUGCGAAGGCAGCUCGCUGGGACGUUACUGACGCUGAGACGCGAAAGCGUGGGGAGCAACAGG